rnacentral:rRNA from 1 species
AGUGAACGCUGGCGGUAGGCCUAACACAUGCAAGUCGAACGGCAGCACAGUAAGAGCUUGCUCUUACGGGUGGCGAGUGGCGGACGGGUGAGGAAUACAUCGGAAUCUACUUUUUCGUGGGGGAGAACGUAGGGAAACUUACGCUAAUACCGCAUACGACCUACGGGUGAAAGCAGGGGAUCUUAGGACCUUGCGCGAUUGAAUGAGCCGAUGUCGGAUUAGCUAGUUGGCGGGGUAAAGGCCCACCAAGGCGACGAUCCGUAGCUGGUCUGAGAGGAUGAUCAGCCACACUGGAACUGAGACACGGUCCAGACUCCUACGGGAGGCAGCAGUGGGGAAUAUUGGACAAUGGGCGCAAGCCUGAUCCAGCCAUACCGCGUGGGUGAAGAAGGCCUUCGGGUUGUAAAGCCCUUUUGUUGGGAAAGAAAAGCAGCAGGUUAAUACCCCGCUGUUCUGACGGUACCAAAAGAAUAAGCACCGGCUAACUUCGUG